rnacentral:rRNA from 2 species
UGUAUGGUUAAGUGACUAAGCGUACACGGUGGAUGCCUGGGCAGUCAGAGGCGAUGAAGGACGUACUAACUUGCGAUAAGCGCAGAUAAGGCAGUAAGAGCCGUUUGAGUCUGCGAUUUCCGAAUGGGGAAACCCAACUGCAUAAGCAGUUACUGUUAACUGAAUACAUAGGUUAACAGAGCAAACCGGGGGAACUGAAACAUCUAAGUACCCCGAGGAGAAGAAAUCAACCGAGAUUCCGGUAGUAGCGGCGAGCGAACCUGGAUUAGCCCUUAAGCACUCGGUGAAGUAGGUGAACAAGCUGGAAAGCUUGGCGAUACAGGGUGAUAGCCCCGUAACCGACGCUUCAUCGAGCGUGAAAUCGAGUAGGGCGGGACACGUGAUAUCCUGUCUGAAUAUGGGGGGACCAUCCUCCAAGGCUAAAUACUCCUGACUGACCGAUAGUGAACCAGUACCGUGAGGGAAAGGCGAAAAGAACCCCUGUGAGGGGAGUGAAAUAGAACCUGAAACCGUGUACGUACAAGCAGUAGGAGCACCUUCGUGGUGUGACUGCGUACCUUUUGUAUAAUGGGUCAGCGACUUAUAUUCAGUGGCAAGGUUAACCGUAUAGGGGAGCCGUAGCGAAAGCGAGUCUUAACUGGGCGCUCAGUCUCUGGAUAUAGACCCGAAACCGGGUGAUCUAGCCAUGGGCAGGUUGAAGGUUGAGUAACAUCAACUGGAGGACCGAACCGACUAAUGUUGAAAAAUUAGCGGAUGACUUGUGGCUAGGGGUGAAAGGCCAAUCAAACUCGGAGAUAGCUGGUUCUCCCCGAAAGCUAUUUAGGUAGCGCCUCGGACGAAUACUACUGGGGGUAGAGCACUGUUAAGGCUAGGGGGUCAUCCCGACUUACCAACCCUUUGCAAACUCCGAAUAC